rnacentral:rRNA from 1 species
CCUACGGGAGGCAGCAGUGAGGAAUAUUGGUCAAUGGGCGCGAGCCUGAACCAGCCAAGUAGCGUGAAGGAUGACUGCCCUACGGGUUGUAAACUUCUUUUAUAAAGGAAUAAAGUGAGGCACGCGUGCCUUUUUGUGUGUACCUUAUGAAUAAGCAUCGGCUAACUCCGUGCCAGCAGCCGCGGUAAUACGGAGGAUCCGAGCGUUAUCCGGAUUUAUUGGGUUUAAAGGGAGCGUAGACGGGUUGUUAAGUCAGUUGUGAAAGUUUGCGGCUCAACCCUAAAAUUGCAUUUGAUACUGGUAGUCUUGAGUACAGUUGAGGUAGGCGGAAUUCGUGGUGUAGCGGUGAAAUGCUUAGAUAUCACGCAGAACUCCGAUUGCGAAGGCAGCUUACUAACCCGCCACUGACAUUGAUGCUCGAAAGUGUGGGUAUCGAACAGGAUUAGAUACCCCAGUAGUC